AUAGGAGAAAACUGAACAGUGAAAAAGUGUGUUGGACAAAGAAGGAUUUUCAGAUAAAGAAACAAAGGUUAGUUAUAAAGCCAGCUGGCCCAUUUGCAAUGCUGCUGUGUACAAUGACAUGCAGAUUCCUGGACCACAAACACAGAUCAUGUGUGACUCCUGUAAGUGUUACUGUUGUACUGGACCUGCUUUACAUCAGAGCACCACGAUAACCUAUCUGAACGCAGAAAUUCCAAACAGACACACCUCUGAACAGGUGGGGAGGCAAGACAAUCUGGAAGAGAAAAGGAGUGUUUGUCAUAUAGUACCUCUCACUGGGGCUUAAACACAGCUUUCCACAGUUAAAUUUCCAAGUAGCAGCCAGAAGAAACAGGAUAAAACCACUGACCACCAUAGGAGGAGAAAAGCACAAGAGUACUGAACACAGGUCUUACUCCUAUCAUACUUACAACUGCACUCUCCAAUAGUGUUGGACUAUGAAAUAUUAUAGAAAUUAAUUAAAUAAUAAUGUAUACUAAUUCUUACCUACUAUGAAUUACUAUCAAUUGUAAUAUUUUCAUAUAUAAAAAGAUGCAAGCUUACUGUAUACCUGAUUUUUUAAAGGUAUUUUUUGGGAAGCUACUAAUGAAUACAUUCCCAGUCCCCCUGCU